GACGAACGCUGGCGGCGUGCUUAACACAUGCAAGUCGAACGGAAAGGCCCUGCUUUUGUGGGGUGCUCGAGUGGCGAACGGGUGAGUAACACGUGAGUAACCUGCCCUUGACUUUGGGAUAACUUCAGGAAACUGGGGCUAAUACCGGAUAGGAGCUCCUGCUGCAUGGUGGGGGUUGGAAAGUUUCGGCGGUUGGGGAUGGACUCGCGGCUUAUCAGCUUGUUGGUGGGGUAGUGGCUUACCAAGGCUUUGACGGGUAGCCGGCCUGAGAGGGUGACCGGCCACAUUGGGACUGAGAUACGGCCCAGACUCCUACGGGAGGCAGCAGUGGGGAAUAUUGCACAAUGGGCGGAAGCCUGAUGCAGCAACGCCGCGUGCGGGAUGACGGCCUUCGGGUUGUAAACCGCUUUCGCCUGUGACGAAGCGUGAGUGACGGUAAUGGGUAAAGAAGCACCGGCUAACUACGUGCCAGCAGCCGCGGUGAUACGUAGGGUGCGAGCGUUGUCCGGAUUUAUUGGGCGUAAAGGGCUCGUAGGUGGUUGAUCGCGUCGGAAGUGUAAUCUUGGGGCUUAACCCUGAGCGUGCUUUCGAUACGGGUUGACUUGAGGAAGGUAGGGGAGAAUGGAAUUCCUGGUGGAGCGGUGGAAUGCGCAGAUAUCAGGAGGAACACCAGUGGCGAAGGCGGUUCUCUGGGCCUUUCCUGACGCUGAGGAGCGAAAGCGUGGGGAGCGAACAGGCCUAGAUACCCUGGUAGUCCACGCUGUAAACGGUGGGUACUAGGUGUGGGGUCCAUUCCACGGGUUCCGUGCCGUAGCUAACGCUUUAAGUACCCCGCCUGGGGAGUACGGCCGCAAGGCUAAAACUCAAAGGAAUUGACGGGGCCCCGCACAAGCGGCGGAGCAUGCGGAUUAAUUCGAUGCAACGUGUAGAACCUUACCUGGGUUUGACAUGGAUCGGGAGUGCUCAGAGAUGGGUGUGCCUCUUUUGGGGUCGGUUCACAGGUGGUGCAUGGCUGUCGUCAGCUCGCGUCGUGAGAUGUUGGGUUAAGUCCCGCAACGAGCGCAACCCUUGUUCACUGUUGCCAGCACGUUAUGGUGGGGACUCAGUGGAGACCGCCGGGGUCAACUCGGAGGAAGGUGGGGAUGACGUCAAGUCAUCAUGCCCCUUAUGUCCAGGGCUUCACGCAUGCUACAAUGGCCGGUACAGAGAGUGGCGAGCCUGUGAGGGUGAGCGAAUCUCGGAAAGCCGGUCUCAGUUCGGAUUGGGGUCUGCAACUCGACCUCAUGAAGUCGGAGUCGCUAGUAAUCGCAGAUCAGCAACGCUGCGGUGAAUACGUUCCCGGGGCU
rnacentral:rRNA from 1 species